GGAGAGGUGUCCGAGUGGUUGAUGGUGCCGCUCUCGAAAAGCGGUGUAGUGACGAGCUACCGCGGGUUCGAAUCCCGCCCUCUCCG
rnacentral:tRNA from 1 species